GCCACAGAGUUUUUCAGGAUAUGUUUCCUAGAUAUUGGAUUUUUUUUUGAUGGUUUUCUUUUAUUAAGCAAGUCAUGGUUUGAUUACCCUUUAAAAUCUUUGUUAUGUAUUGUGCAGUGUGUGUGUGUGUUUACAUAGAGCAGGGGUAACAUCAGCCCAUAAUUUUGUAAGGCACUGAAUAUAAUUUAAAAAUUUUUGCAAACACAAUUAUAAAGAUUCACCCGUCACUGAAAAAUUGAAACAUUUUUUAAUGCAGGUAGAACAUGAUUCCUUUUAGUACUACUGAGUAUGUUUGGCUUAAGUACUAAGACUUGCUUUCCUAUUUGGCUUUAGAUUCUGCUUAAGGAAGUAGUGAAAGAUUUAAUUCACCGUACUUUUGUUAGAAAGUAUGGAAAUGUUUGUCCAUGGGAACUUUUGUCACUUGCUAGAAUAGAAAUUCAUUGGGAAGAAGGAACAUUUUCAUUGUAUUGCCCAAGAGCCAUUGAUAUAUUCCCUGCAUCUUUCAAAGGCAUCUUUCAUGCCACACAGGAAAACUGUAGUUAGUGAAGGAACAGAAAGAGCACUUCUUACAUGAGUGAGUCUCAGCGAACUUGCACAGCAGCUGUGCUAGGUACUGAUGAGGAUUACCACAGGACCCAGUUUCAGGGCUUCCUGUGGCUGAAGAGACAACUGGCUCCCUCGGGGGACCACUUUGAUGGAGACUGCAGCAAUAAUGCAUCCUCACUCUUGCUAGUGGAUCUUGUGGCCAUGUAGUACAGAACUGGUGCCAGAUAAAGUCGGAAAGUAAUAAAAAGCAAGAUGAAUCUCCGAGAUUUUAAAUCGUCAUGUGAAGAACUAAAACAAACGACCUGGGCGUGACGCAUUCACUCAUAAGGAAAAAGAGGCAGAGGAAGGUUGCCUUUAACUCAGAAAACUUGCAGAGAUUUCAGGCUUUUCAUUUGAGAACCAUUUGGGUGUGUUGUGAAAUAAAGUUGCAGAGUAGGCAUGUUCAGACCUUUAUUUGCUACAUUUAGUAAGAAAGAUUCUCACCCCCCCCCGCCCCACUUAACUACAAGAAGCCAGAGUUUUCUGUGCAAACUGAAACAGGCGUUGCAAGAAUCAGAUUCACUCUGGACGACUCUUCACAUUCCAAGUCAUCAUUGCAUUAGGCAGCACAAUUCCAUCUCUGGUUGAUGGGCAGAAAAAGUGGGCAGCUUGCCAGGUAGACGUUUCCAUGACUCCCAGCCCCCAAAGGUGAUGCGUUUUUCAGCUAAUUCAAUGAAGAGUGGGCUGAACUUUGGGUCUAAACGAGACAAUAGCUGCCUUCGCAGUAUCAGCAGAAUGGUUGAUGGGAAUGCACUCUACAUUUGGCAGAGGAUCAUGUGACCUUACGACUGAGAUUUUGUGAUGGUGCCAACAGAGACUUGGAAAGCAGCAACCGUCCUGACUUUUUUCUUCUUUUCUAGCAUGGCUCAGAAAAUGGUGGAUCUUAAUACUUGACUUUAGCCAGACUCAGCAAGCGACUGAGCUUUGAAGCACAACUUCGCCUUUAUUCUGGGUUUUUGGCAGGCCACCAGGAGGCUGUCCCUUUCACGCCUGAUAAAUUCUGCUGCUUAUCUCUAAAUAGGAAAAAAAAGAAAAAGAAAGAACAUAUAAACAGAAUAUUGAGGCAUAAUAAGUGAAUCCUAAAACUGUAUGUGCUUUCUUGUUUUUUGCCUUUUCUUACUAGUGAUUGUUUUUAAUGUUAAUACCCUUUCUGCUUGUUGAAGAAUCCAAGUAGGCUUUUUUCUUUUUUUUUUUUUUUUUUUGGUUUAUAAUGAACAGGCAUUUGAACUGGGCAAACAGGACGACAGCAGCAGUGAGCAUGAGAUCAUUGCAGCAGCGUAGCAAACUGGCACCCUGCCUUCCUGCCUUCUCACCCUUUUGGUUCAGGAGACAAACGUGUGCAAUCCUCAUUUCUAAAGUCAGCACAGCCUGGAAGGAUUCCUGGUCUCUCCCACCUUCUACCAUUCUGCUGCCAGGGACGGCAAGGAUUGGUGCAGCUUCUGCGCAGUGCUUUGUGCCUGGAAUACCGAGAAGGAAGAAAAAGAAGACAAGCACCCUGGACCUUUUUUCCAAGAAAUAACAAGAGCCAUGAAGGAAAAAAAAAAAUCUGAGUUUGUCCUACUCUAUGCAACAGUGCUGAAAAAAAAGAGAGCGAGGGAGAGACGGUCCUGCUCAAAAACAAAAACAAACAAACAAAAAUCCAAACCAAAACAAACCAAAAAAAAAAAUUGGCUUGUAUAACUACAGAGACAUCGGGCUUUUUAAAGCAGCUUGUAAGGCAACAUAAGCAAAUGAGCCUUCUCUAUUUGUAUUAUUUCAAAAACAUGGCAAAAUAAGCAAUAUAUUGCACUUGGUGAAAUCGCACCUUUCAUAUCAGGGAAAAACUUAAAAUGGAUAUGAGAAGUGAAGAAAGUGAUCAUAGGAGAGAAAAUCAUCUCAGGUGUCUGACGAUUUGUGAACACCAAAUGACUAUUCUGUGGAGUCAUCUUUCUUGCCUUUGAAUUAGCUUUCCCUAGGCCAUGAGUCAACAUCAAUAUUUUAUACAUCCAGAUUGGGAUUACAAAUCAUAAAGAGGAUGAAAACUUGGUCUCACUAGUGACACAUCUUGGUUACCAUUGAGGAAAGAUUCUGCUUGAGAAAGAAACCCAUGUGAAAUUCAUCAAUUCAUAAAUAUAACUUAUCAACUCAAAGAAGUCCUUCAGCAGGGCAUGGGAAAUAUCUGGAGAAGUUUCCUCAUCUUCAAGAGGCAUCAAGGAGACAGCUAAAUACAGAUGGAGAAUUCUGUGGAGUUCCUGAAAUCCACAACAACUGUGAGGACCAAGGAAAGUGGUUUAAUCAGCAAGCUGGGCUCGCUGAGAGCAGCGUUACACAGCCUCACAGCUGAGGGAAGAAUUUCAUGAAUUUUCCAAAGGAUGGAGCACAUGCUUCACAAAAUUCUUACUGACGGACACUAAGGUUACAAUUAGAAAGAAACAAAAGUGCGUACAAGCACAACUACUCACAACAGCAUGGGAAAUACUGAUGAUGCUAAAGAAUAUCUCCGAUGGAAUAGUCGAGAAUGUGCUGUAUAAAGUCAUGGUACAUCUCUUCAAAAAUCAUUGACUGAAAAAAUGUCAUGAGAAAAGCAGCAUUAUUUCUUUGUUAGUGCUUCCAAUAUCUCUUCCUGGCAAUUCAGGUGGAACAGAGAAUCCAGUGAAAUCUGGUGCUUUGCCUCAUUAUUAAGCUCAUAUCUGCCAGCUAAUCAUGUGUGAUACAGCAAAAAUGUAAAAGCAUUUGAAUCAAUAGCUCUUUCAGAUGCUCUUCUGAUAAAACUGCUUCAUUUUAUUUUCUAACUAAUUAAUUCAUGUAAGUGGAGAGAUUAACAGAAAAACUUAUUCAUAUUAUGAGUAACAGGAUCCAAACAGUUUAUUGAACUGUAUUGUUGGCAUCUUUGCAACCAAUAAGACUCUUUAAUAGUCAGAUCUCAGAAACAUCUGUCUUAGAAAGGAGUAUACAUUCUGGCUUCCACUUACUUGAGAAGGAAUUAACCUAGGGUCAGGAGCAGAGGUUAGGUUACUUCUACCUGGAAAUUAAUCAGAAAAUUCAUUUUGCCCUUUGAUGUUGCUUUUCUGCACACCCACCCCAUGCCUACCUUCACCUUUUAUCUUCUUAAGAUCCUAAAGCUCCCUUUCACGCACUAUGGUAGUUGAAAGGAAUUUAAAGUUGUGGAUUUCUAUAUUUAUGUAAUUAUAUACUGAAAAUAUAAUAGGGUAGGGGAAAAUGUUUUUAAGAGAUGUGACACCUUAAAGAAAAUUCACAGACAUCAAAAGUGACUCUAAUAUAUUGGCAAAUUUCAGGCUACAUUUCUAGUCAUAUUUCUGCUAGAAGAAACCUACUUUCCAUUUUGUGUUUUCUCAUUUGCAUGACUGCAAAGCUAUUCAUGCAUAUGAAAAGGAUAUUAUUCAUCUCCAUACUCCUUCCUCUCCAUAUUCCAAACCCAAUGUGUUGAUGAGUUAUGCAUAAGGAAACACUGCUGUAUCUAUAUAUUUAUGCAUGUAUACCUAUGUGAUUCAAAUUCGGUAUCACAACGGGAUAGCAAGCCCAAGUGAUAACAUUAUGUACUAGAUGUGUCGUAUUACAUCAUUAAUAGCACAUCAAAAUUGUCAAAUAUGUUGAAAUCCAGUAAUUGCAAGUGACAAGCUUUAGCGUGAUUUGUCUCCAUUGGGAAGGAUUGAAAAAGAGAGUGAGAGAAAGGAGUAUACUUCUGAAUUUCCCCUCUAAGUGCUUAUGGUAGGUUCUUAUUACUUCUGCAAAUAUUUUUAGUGAGAUGCUGUUUUCACAGUAUUCAUGGUAACUGGCUAGUGCAGUUUUCACGUGCUUGCACCUUAUCGUCUCUCAAGUUCAGAAACCCAGUGCUGUUCCAGAAAGAACUACAAAGUUGAACUGGCAGGAAGAAAAAUGACCAAACUGGCAGGGCUUAUCUCCCUCUAAUGUGUGACUCUUCUUAACUCAAUAUUCCAGGAAAUUAUUCACUUGAAAGUUUAGAUGGAGUUCACAAAGAAAAAUGAUUUCUCUUCUACUCUCUGGUUCUACUCCUACUCCUCAGAAAAGCUAAUAGUAUUGCUUCAUUCCUAAAAGUUUUCUCUUAAAAAUGUCUCAGCAUUUGGCAAUAAGAGGAAAAUAGGAUGACAGUGAAUUUCAUGGGCACAGAACUCAUUCAUUACAAUGAUGAGGUAUUCAAGAACCCCCACCCUUUGUGUCCUGCUUUAUCUGUAUUUGGGGAUGGCAUGGAUGAGGAGAAAAAGGAAGCUUAUGUGUUUUCUUUAAAAUUAAUUCCCAGCUUUAUGAGUGAAUUAUUGUAAGCCCUGAGGACAUUAUAACUGCAUUCUUCUUUUCAGUAAUUGUGGCAGAUAUUAAAGUGCACAGACAAAGGUAGUCAUGUGUAGAAUAACCUGUUUUUUCAGACAGACCCACUUGUCCAAGAUCAAACGGCUGCAGCACGUUUAGGGUUACAGUCUCCUCCCUUCCUCCUCAUUCUCAACCGCAGUGGAGCUUUUUCCAGCGUUGCCAUGGUAACACUAUAUCUGGCUGCUAGCUCUGUCGUAAGUUAUUGAACUGAGACUGGCUUUUGGUUUAGCAGAUAAUUAGGUUCUGUCUCACAGGUUCAUUUUCCUGUGACUGGGACGUGAAUAUGACCUACAGCUGGCCUCAAUUUCAGUGUCACAGGCAAAACUUUAACCCUUCCCAAGCUCCCAAGGCUCUGAAGCCUUGCUUGUGAAGGGGAGGAAGUCUGGUGCAGCCCACCCACACCUAGGAGAGGAUCACCAAGUCCCCAUUUUAUUUUUUAUCUUCAUCAUAACACUAAGGAAAAUAUGAUCAAGAUUGUACACUUAGAGCAUUUUAAAAAUUAAAAACAUAUCAGCAAUAUAGUACAUUACUAUGUGCAUUUUAUAUAUAACAUGUAACGUACAAAGCAUUCCCUAGUCAUUAUCUUUCCCCUACUUCUUAAAUGACUUUUUAAGUCACGUCAAAGUACCUUGUGCUGCAAUUUGGAGUGCACAAUACUUAGGUUUCAAAAACCCCAUUCUCAGGAAUGUUAGCUUGGUACACUUAUUCUCAGCUUCCAGAACUGCCUGUCAGUUGAUUCAUGCCCCUCCUUCUCCUGUUUAUAAACCCUGGAUUUUUGCUGACAUUGAAAGGUGCCUUUGGAGUCACAGGCAGGUCCAUACUAUGGGGAACAACGCCACCACUCUGCUAAAAUUCCCGAAUGUUCACUCAGGGCUUGAAUCUUGUUGGUUUGGAAAGCAAGCGAGAUAUGUCCUUUGUUUUGGACAAAGAAAUAAGCAUAACUUUUAGAACAGAUACUGAAUUCACAAUACUCACGGCAACAUGGGGACCUGCGUGUUUAAUAGGAGAGAGUGUGUCUUUCUAUGUCAAACAAUAGGAGAGACCCUCAAGGAAAUCGAUGUCUGAAAAAUUUAGUGCAUUAUCCUCAAAAUGCAAGAAAGGAAGAAGAGAGAGUUGAGACCACCAUGAUUAAAACAUGAAUUAAAGAAAUUCUAUUGCUUAAUUGGCUGGAGAAUCACACAACUAUGUCAGUAGAGAUAGGAAAGACUUGGAAGACUCAACAGCUGGAUAUUCGAACCAGGAUACAUCUGUGUGUGUAUGUGUGUGUGUACCACAUAGACUAUAUUCUGUUUUAAUCCAUUCCUUCCAUUUUCAGACUCCCAAUGAGAAGGGCAUUCUGAAUGGUAGCAGCCUCAGAUGUCCUGAGGAAGAGCAGCUUUGGGUCCAAAAGGGUCCCAUGAACGCAGAGAACUUAGCAUAGGGGGUUGAGGUCAGGGUCAGGGGAAUUUGUAUGAAGUAGUAGAGACAGAGGUGAUAUGUGAGAAACUCAGUUGUUGGUAGUUAUUUUCCACUAAACUGAGUUUCUUUUAACUUUUAAUGUCAGUACAUAGCACUUCUUUUCUUACUAAUAAACAGUAAAUGUUUGCUGAAUGAAUGCAUGAAUUCUUCCUCACUCUCUAUUCUAUGUAAUAAGAAUUAAAUGAGCACUCAGUUAUAAAAAGGUCUUGGAGUGUCUACAAGCAUUUUUCAAUCCAAAGUCCUUUAACUGUCUUCCCAGUUUCCCAUAACCCUAAGCCCUACACAAGCAGGUCAUGUCUUGCCUGUGUUAUGGCAACAGCCUUGUCACUGAUCUUCUUCCCUCUUAUUACCUACUGUAAUCUCUAUUAUACCUGGGAGAUGGGGCGUUAAUUUAAAACGCUUAUCACUCCUCCUCACAGCUUCCCAGUGGUUUUCCGUGUAGUAUGACUAGCAAACACAAUCCUUACUGUGCUUACAAGGCCUGCCUACCUUGCUGACAUCAUCACUCCCCUCUUUUUACCCUUCUUGUGAACACAUGCCCACUGGUGAGCCUUAUCCUUUACUGGUCCCUCUGGAACACAUGACUUAUUCCUUCACUUUAUUCUGGUCUCUCUACUCAAAUGUCACCUUCUUAAAGAUGCUUUCCUUAAACAUCUUAAAAAGCACAUCAUUCAUUGUCCAACAUUUCUCUUGCUCUAAGUUUUCUUCAUAGUGCUUAUCAGUUCUUGAUAGGCUGUUAAACAACAAGCAAAUAUGAAUAUACCUUUCCCACUAAAAUACAAGUUCCUUAUGGGAAAGAGCUUUGAUUAUUCAUGAGUAGACUCUAGUACCUCGAACCUAGUAGGCUGGACUAUAGUAGCCUUCAAUAAAUAUUUGUUGAAUAAGUAGGUGAAUGAAUGAAGACAUCCAAGUAGAGGGUCUGGAUAUCCCAACCUAUAUAUAUAUUGAGGUUGAGUAUCUCAAUACACACACACACACACACACACACACACACACACAUAUUGGAAUAUAUAUACAUUUUGUGACCAAGAAUGAGUGGUCCCAACAUAAUGAAUGAAAUACCCUGCAUGAUGAAAUUGUAUGAGUCAUGCAAUAAAAUUUAGGGACAGAGCUUAUUUCUUUAACUUGCUUCACUAGAUUGAGGUAAAACAAGGAUAGGAAGCUUAUUUCUACCUCAUCCUUGCAUGGAUUAAAUUCAAAAUAAAGCAUCAUCCAUAUACCAAACACAUUUCAACCUUAGUCACUCAUGGAAGAGUCUUUCUGAAAAGGACCAGAUAGUAAAUAGCUUUGGUUCUGGGGUCAUACAGGCUGUGUCACAACUUCUGUGAACGUCUGUCGAGAUGUGAAAGCAGCCACGGGCAACACAGAAACAACUGGGUUUGGCUGUGCUCCAGUAACACGUUACUUAUUAAAACAGGGACUCAGCCACGUUCAGCACACAGACCAUAGUGUGCUGACCUCUGUUGUAGUGCCUUUUCCCAGUUCCUCCUCCCACCAAGAGAAUGCCCAAAGGACCAUGUCUCUCUCACCUGGUUCUUUCAAGAAAUGAAACAAAUUGGGGAAUGGCUGGUGGGUGGAACACUACUGAGGCGCUUUUUUUUUCCUUUUUCUCCUUCUUUGUUUAAUUAUUAGUCAUUUCCUAACUUUAAACUGCCACUGCAGUAGCAAUAACAAUGGUGUAUUGGUAAAUGUCUAACAACUGACUCUCUGAGAAAGGAAAAAAAGAUGUUUACGAAUUUCUGUAGUGUAAAUUCUCUCAUCAUGGCCAUUUUAAACUACCACUAUGAUGUCACUUAACCUUGAUGUUGGGAAAAGAUGCGCUUAAUAGUCUCAUGAAUCAGUGUGAGCUGGCUCCAGCCCACAGCAGGAUGCCUAUUUAAAAGCUUCAGUAACUUUGCUCACUGUCACUGCAAAGUCUGUAGGAUGGUGGUGGUCUUGAUGGGAGCAACUGGUUGGAUGAUCUCUUGGAAUGACGGAAAAGUAUGCAAAUGUAAUGUUGUAUGUAAAGCCUUUAGCUCUGUGUUUGGUUAAAAUACAUACUCAGUAAAUGGUGGCUAUUAUCCUCUUACUUUAAGUUAUUAUAAGCAUUAACAUUAAAUGCUUAGCUACUGGCUCAAUCCCAUUUUAAUGCCUUUGUGUUAAUAAGGCCUCUUAACAUGGACACAACAAAGGUAAAGGAAUUUUAUGUAGCUAUUCAUGCUUCUGCCCAGCUCAAGGUUAAGAUAGCAACAAAAUACUCCAACCAGAAUAAAAGAAGUCUCCACUUGACUUCAGCUCUUCAUAACACUUCACAAGGGUCAAGCUGUUUUAUUUUCCUUCAGUGUUAAAUAGAAAGCAUCUUAGGAGCAGAGUUCAAUUAUUGAUUCAAUAGUGGGUUCAAUUUGACUGUAAUUCUGACAAAUAUACUUCAAUGAGUCCAAGACCAGGGAUGGACCAACAAAAGGGUGAAGGUUUCACUCAUGCUUUGAGGCAAAUGCUCAGACUGAAUUAGUAACACGGAUGUCUUAUGUUGUUUGGCUACUAAAAAUAUAGUUCAGUAGUAGAAUAACAGGGAAAAUAUUGACAGUGGUUUGAGUGACCAGACACCAAAAUGGACAUCAAUCUGAAAGAAAUUAGUAAAAUAAUAAUAAUAAUAAUAAAAAAUAGAGACCCUGAAAGAGAUUAAUAAACAGCUUAGGUUUAAUCACUCAAUAUUCAGAAGAAAAGGCUAAUAAAUGCUGUUUUAAAUACUGUAAGAGUGUUUUUUUAACUAUUUACCCUCUAGUGUCUUCUGCUCAUUUUCUUUAAUCUAUAAUGAGUUCUGUACUUUUAUAAAAGAUGUGAUUUAGUGUUUGAUCAGUGAAAUAAGGUAAGAAAGAGAAGCUAAUCUUAGUCUUUUCUUCUAGGCUUCUGUUAGCACAUAAUUUAAAUAUAUUGGUUUUGUGGUGGUUAUCCUGGUCUGCUUCUGGACAACCCUUUGUUCUAGAAGCCUUCUUUUUAAACCAUGGAAUACCUCAGACCAAAACCUGGUCAGAAGUCCCUUCAGUUCCCAAAUAAUACUAAUUGAGUUGAGUUUUCUGUUUCAAUAAACUCUUCUGUAUGUAUCUUUUGCUACAUUUUCUUUUGGUUUUCCGCUCAUAUUAAUAAUAUUAAUGAAAAUAUAUUUUAGGUAAUCAGCUUUCUUUUAAACAGUGUAUAUUAUGGAAAAUUUUGAAGAUAUACAAAUUUGAGAGAAUAUGUAAAGAACUUCUAAAUGCCCAUCACCCAUAGAGGUUAAAUUAUUCAACUACUUAUUAGAGGGGAGGGGGAAAAUUGACAUCUUUUUUCCCAGUAACAUUGAGAUAUAUUUGACGUAUAACAUUGUGUAAUAUAUUGUGAAAUGAUUUUCACAAGGUUAGUUAACACAUCCAUCCCCUCACAUAAUUGUAUAGUUUGCCUUUUUCCUUUUCUUUUCUUUUCUUUUUUUUUAGUAGGGAGAACAUUUAAGAUCUACUCUCUUAGCAAAUCUCAGGUGUGCAAUAUAUUAUUGUCAACUACAGUCACCAUGACGUAUGUUAGAACCUCAAAACUUUUUCAUUUUGUAACUGGCGAUUUGUACCCUUUGAUCAUCACUCAUUUCUCCCACUCCCCAGCUUCUGGCAGCUGUCAGCCUACAAUUUGUUUCUAUGAGUUUGUGUUUUUUAGAUCCCACAUAUAAGUGAGAUCAUGUAUGAUUUGUCUUUAUCUGACUUAUUUCGUUUGGCAUAAUGCCCUCAAA